CCCCCAAAGGGACCCUUACUGGGAACCCCCUUGGGACCCCCCCCAUUUUUGGCUUCAUUUCCCGGGAUUUCGGGUCCAUUUUUGGGGUGCCGUUUUGGGUCCACUUUUGGGAUCAGAUUUUGUGGUUUUGGGGUCAAUUUUUGGGUUCAUUUUGGGUGAUUUCAGGCCCGUUUUUGGGGUGCCAUUUUGGGGCCCGUUUUUGGGCUCAAUUCUUGGCAUUUUGGGUCCAUUUUUAGGCUGGGAUUUUGUGGUUUUGGGACCAUUUUUAGGCUCAUUCUGUGUGAUUUCGGCCCGUUUUGGGCUCAUUUCCCACGAUUUCGGGUCCACUUUUGGGGCGCCAUUUUGGGGCCCAUUUUUGGGCUCAUUUCCCACGAUUUCGGGUCCAUUUUCGGGGUGCUGUUUUGGGGCCCAUUUUUGGACUUAUUUCCCAUGAUUUCGGCCCGUUUUUGGGCUCAUUUCCUGUGAUUUCAGCCCGUUUUUGGGCUCAUUUCCCACGAUUUCAGGUCCAUUUUCGGGGUGCCCUUUUGGGGCCCAUUUUUGGACUCAUUUCCCGUGAUUUCAGCCCAUUUUUGGGCUCAUUUCCCACGAUUUCAGGUCCAUUUUCGGGGUGCCCUUUUGGGGCCCAUUUUGGGCUCAUUUCCCGCGAUUUCGGCCCAUUUUGGGCUCAUCUCCCGCCCCUUCCCAGGUCUCUGUGCCCUCAUUGCCUGCUCCUGGUUCGCCCACCGCGUCAUCACGGAUUUCUACAGCCCCACCAUCCCCACAAACCUCAAGUACGAGCUGGGCCCGGCGCUGUUCGUGGGCUGGGGCGGCGCGGCGCUGCUGCUGCUGGGCGGGGCGGCGCUGCUCUGCUCGUGUCGGACCGGAACCGGAACCGGAACAGCCCGAUACCCGCGGGUGAAGGCGGCGCCUCGAAAGACCGGAAGCGGAAGUGCCACCGACUACGUCUGAGAGCGCCACGCCCCCGCCGGGCGGCGCGCCAAUCGGAUCGCAGAACGGGCCUUGAGUCACGCCCCCUUUUUUUUAGCCGCGUCCCUUUAGCUCCGCCCCCUCGGCAGGAACCGGAAGUGCCGCCAAAUACGUCUGAGAGAGCCCACCCUCCCCAAAACCGCCCUCCAAUCGGAUCGCAGAACCGCCCUGCAGCCCCGCCCCCUUUUAGCGACACUCAUUAUAAUCCCUCCCCCGCGACCGGAAGCGGAAGUGCCUAA
rnacentral:lncRNA from 1 species